rnacentral:misc_RNA from 1 species
UCUCCGUUGGUGAACCUGCGGAGGGAUCAUUACCAGAGUUUUACUACUCACAACCCUUCUGUGGUCCUACCUAUCGGUGCUUCGGCGGACUCGCCCCAUCGUCCGGACGGCCCCGCGCCGGCCCGCGACCCGGACCCAGGCGGCCGCCGGCGUCCACACAAUCCCGGUACCAUCAGUCUCUCAGAAUCCGCCCCAAUGCAUAACACAUGAAUCAAAACUUUCAACAAUGGUACUCCUGGUUCUGGCAUCGCUGAAGAACGCAGCAGAUGGGAAGGGCAC